AUUAAGUUAUGCAUUUUUAAGUAUAAACGAUUCUAUACUAUGAAACUGCAAAUGACUCAAUAAAUCAAUUAUAGUUUAUUUAAUUAUACCAUUACUACUUGGAUAACCGUGGUAAUUCUAGAACUAAUACAUGCGUAAAAACUCGACUUCUGGAAGGGUUAUAUUUAUGAGAUAAAAAACCAACCUGGUCACCAAUUUUUUGGUAACUCAUAAUAACUUUUCAGAUUGUAUGACUUUAUGUCGAUGAUGGUUAGUUCAAAUUUCUACCCUAUCAACUUUCGAUGGCAAAAUAAAAGUCUGCCAUGGUUUUAACGGGUAACGGAUAACUAGAAUUCGAUUCCGGAGAGAGAGCCUGAGUAACAGCUACCGUAUCUAAGAAAGGUGGCAGGCG
rnacentral:ncRNA from 1 species